GACGUAGGGCGCGAGCGUUGUCCGGAUUUAUUGGGCGUAAAGAGCUCGUAGGCGGCUUGUCGCGUCGUCCGUGAAAACCCGGGGCUCAACCCCGGGCUUGCGGUCGAUACGGGCAGGCUGGAGUUCGGUAGGGGAGACUGGAAUUCCCGGUGUAGCGGUGAAAUGCGUAGAGCUCGGGAAGAACAUCGGUGGCGAAAGCGCUCUGCUGGACUGCAACUGACACUCAGGGACGAAAGCUAGGGGAGCGAAUGGG
rnacentral:rRNA from 1 species